rnacentral:rRNA from 1 species
CUAUGAGGAACCAGUUAUUGCGAGAAAUUCGCAUAAGGCUCUUCAACACCACUGAAAACUUCGCAAAGGCUGGCAGGACUCAGUCGCUUUAGCUCUUCAGCAAAGUUUUCAGUGUCUUGUGGUUAUACCUGCCAGCAGAUUCUAGUGGAAAUUCCCAAAGGAGCUGGCAGGUAUGAAGGAAAUGGCUAGCAACCGUUAAGAUUAUAUUUUCCCAUAGAAUCUNAUCGGUCUAAGGCCAUUGACGGUCAUUGUGGAAUUAUGGAUAUUCUUAGCAGCACUGCAUAAUUCCACUUUAUGACAGUUUAAGCCAAUUUCCCUUUCUACCAGCAUCCAUUUUCGAGAAAUUGGCUGCUAUGGUUCGAAAGGAAAAAGAAAGGUUGACCGCUGCAGCCGAUUUCGAUGGAUGCUUCUACUUUGAAGCUGGCUUAACCCAAAAUAGAAGCUGCGUCUUCAUUUGGUUUAAGCGGCUGCUUCUAUCGAUCAUUUCCAUUUGAACUGGCACGUUUGAAGGAAAUUGAUCGCUAGUGUCCAACCAACCUUUUUACCCAAUUUUGCCGGCCUUUGCAAAAUUAGGAGGUUGGUAUUGAAAUAGCGUGAAAGGCUAGAGCUGAUUUGGAAUAAGCCUUUCACCUAGCAUAACUCCAUUAGGAUUAUUCCCAAUGAAACUUAUUCAUGAAAUCCAUUUCAAGAUAAGAGUUUCAUUGGCUGCAGCCGUUAGAAUCAAAUGCUGUGAUUCGACGGCAGCUUGCAAUUUCUCGAAUAAUCGUGAAAUUUCUGAAAAUCCAUUCUUAUGGUUUGCAGCUCAACAUGGAACUGCUUCAAAAUGGCUUCCUC